rnacentral:rRNA from 1 species
UACGUAGGGUGCGAGCGUUAAUCGGAAUUACUGGGCGUAAAGCGUGCGCAGGCGGUUUUGUAAGCCAGAUGUGAAAUCCCCGGGCUUAACCUGGGAAUGGCAUUUGGGACUGCAAGGCUCGAGUGCGGCAGAGGAGACUGGAAUUCCUGGUGUAGCAGUGAAAUGCGUAGAUAUCAGGAGGAACACCGAUGGCGAAGGCAGGUCUCUGGGCUGACACUGACGCUGAGGCGCGAAAGCGUGGGUAGCAAACAGG